AAACGAUUACCAGAAAGACCUAGAAAGGUGAGAUGAGAAAGAUUACCAAUUGAUGAUGGAAUCUGACCCGAAAACUGAUUAAAAGAAAGGUCGAGAGAGGUGAGACGAGAAAGGUUUCCGAUUGAAUUCAGAAUCUGACCCGAAAAACGAUUAUAAGAAAGGUCGAGAGAGGUGAGAUGAGACAGAUUUUCAAUUGAAGACGUGAUUUGACCUUCAAAAUCAUUAUGUGAACGGUCUAGAGUGGUUAGGAAAUGAAGGUUUCGAAUACUGC
rnacentral:lncRNA from 1 species